GGGUUGUGAGGUUAAGCGACCAAGCGUACACGGUGGAUGCCCUGGCAGUCAGAGGCGAUGAAGGGCGUGCUAAUCUGCGAUAAGCGCCGGUAAGGUGAUAUGAACCGUUAUAACCGGCGAUACCCGAAUGGGGAAACCCAGUGUGAUUCG
rnacentral:rRNA from 1 species